rnacentral:rRNA from 1 species
UACGUAGGGGGCAAGCGUUGUCCGGAUUUAUUGGGCGUAAAGAGCGUGUAGGCGGCCAGGUAGGUCCGUUGUGAAAACUAGAGGCUUAACCUCUAGACGUCGAUGGAAACCAUCUGGCUAGAGUCCGGAAGAGGAGAGUGGAAUUCCUGGUGUAGCGGUGAAAUGCGCAGAUAUCAGGAAGAACACCCGUGGCGAAGGCGGCUCUCUGGGACGGUACUGACGCUGAGACGCG